GUAGGUGGCAAGCGUUGUCCGGAAUUAUUGGGGCGUAAAGCGCGCGCAGGCGGUUCUUUAAGUCUGAUGUGAAAGCCCACGGGCUCAACCGUGGAGGGUCAUUGGAGACUGGAGAACUUGAGUACAGAAGAGGAAAGCGGAAUUCCACGUGUAGCGGUGAAAUGCGUAGAGAUGUGGAGGAACACCAGUGGCGAAGGCGGCUUUCUGGUCUGUAACUGACGCUGAGGCGCGAAAGCGUGGGGAGCAAACAGGAUUAGAUACCCUGGUAGUCCACGCCGUAAACGAUGAGUGCUAAGUGUUAGGGGGUUUCCGCCCCUUAGUGCUGCAGCUAACGCAUUAAGCACUCCGCCUGGGGAGUACGGCCGCAAGGCUG
rnacentral:rRNA from 1 species